rnacentral:lncRNA from 1 species
AUGUGGAGCUGUAAGGGAUGCAAAGAAACGGUAUCAAGUAGGUCCACACUCUUAAAUCACUACAAGCUUAAGCAUCCGCAUUCUGGACGUAGUGCUCCCUUUCCCUGUACAUACCCACACUGUCCUUGCACAUUUAGAACAUGGAAUGCCCUUAUUGUCCACCAAAGUAAGAUUCACUCCACAGGGGUCACUAGCAAGGAGCAUGCUAUAUUCAGUUGCCAUCUCUGUACUUGUAAUGAUUUGGCCUCAGAGAGGGAUUAUUUUGCUCAUGUAAAUACUCACCUCAAAAGAAAUGAGACAGUCAGUUGUAUGUUUCUUGACUGUGACUUUAAAACAAACGUUUAUUGCACGUUUAAAUCACACAAGAACCGAAAACACUGCCAUCACUCAUUGGUUGAUUUUAAACCUGGAGUAGUAAUAACUACGGAAUCAGCAUCUGUUGAUGAAUUGGAAGCAAAUAGCGAGGAGAAUGUAGAACAGUUGGAUACUGCCACUCCUUCAAGUAGUUGGUCUGACAGUACGGACUUGCAGACAAACAUAGAGCAAAGAUUUGCUGCUGCUCUGUUAAAGUUGGAGCAUUUGGUUCAUGUGCCAAGCACAGCUGUUGAUGGGUUUUUAGGGGAACUCCAUCAUUUGAUUUCUUCUGCUCCUGUCCCCCUUUCUUGUGAAAUGGUUAGGGACAUCUUUCAUCAGAGAAACCUUUCUGUCGAUGAUCUUGUUAUUAGAGAGACAGUUGAUUCAAUUUGUUGUGGUAGUCCUGUGCAGAGGUCCAUACAGAAAGGUGGCCCUUUAAGCACUGCAUAUCUGCGGAAGCUUUAUUACAAGGAGAAUUUUAGUGUCGUACAACCAGUUGAAUACGUCCUGGAUGCUAAAAGCAAACAUAGUUAUCAAUAUGUUCCCAUACUUAAGUCCUUGCAGCAGCUGUUGAGUAGACAGGAGGUCAUUGAUCAGAUAGUUGAGGGUCAUCAAAGACAAGAUGACGCACAGUCUGGAGUUUCCUACAAGUGCUCAAAAGAUGGUUCCCUCUUCAAGGACAAUCCUUUUUUUUCUAGGGGAAAGCCAAGGAUAAUCCUGCAGUGUUAUGUAGAUGACUUUGAGGUCUGUAACCCCCUUGGCACCUCAAGAAAGAAGCAUAAACUUUGUGCUGUUUAUUGGGUAUUGGGUAACUUGCGUCCAGGGUCUCAUUCAUCAUUAUCAUCCAUCUACUUAGCAGUUUUGUGUAAAACUGAUCAUGUUAAAAUCUAUGGUUAUGACAGGAUCUUAGAACCUCUUCUUCAAGACCUGAAAACUCUGGAGGAGCUGGGUGUUUAUGUCCCACUGCUAGGUGAGUCAGUUAAAGGCACCAUAUUUAGUGUAGUAGCUGACAACUUGGGAGCGCACAGCAUUGCUGGAUUUAUGGAGAGUUUUUCUGUGGAACACUAUUGCAGGUUUUGCACAGGAAAGAGCAGUGAUAUUCAGCUACAUUCUGUUGCAUCUGGCGCUUUCGAGUUGAGAACCAAGGAGCUUCAUCAGGCCCAUGUCAAACAGGUUGAAGAUACAGGUACAGCUUGUUUUGGUAUGAAGCGGUUAUGCGUCUUUACUAAAUAUCUGUCUCAUUUUCAUGUCAUCUUUGGCUAUCCACCUGACCUGGCCCAUGAUGUUUUGGAGGGUAUAAUCCCUGUUGAGCUUGCUCGUUGCUUAGCAGUUCUUAUAUCUAAAAAGUUUUUCACAUUAGCUGACUUAAACAAUGCAAUUUCUACGUUUCCCUAUAAAUGGGCUGACAGGACAAACAAACCUCAUGUAGUCUCUCAAAGUUUCUCCAAAACCAAAACUGUGGGAGGAAAUGCGCAUGAAAACUGGAGCUUGCUCCGAUUCUUGCCUUUCUUGAUUGCACCACUUGUGCCUGAGGAUGAACCUGCCUGGCUUAUUCUCAUGGACCUGAAGGACAUCACAGAGCUUGUUGUGGCCAUUGUACAUACUGAUGACUCAUUGGCUUUUUUAGAAAGCAAAAUCAUAGAGCACAGACAGAGGUAUCAAGAGUUGUUCCCCGAUGUCAGGUUGCUGCCAAAACACCACUUUUUGGAGCACUACCCCCAGAUGAUCAGGCUGUUUGGUCCAGUUGUCGGGCAGUGGACGAUGCGCUUUGAGGCUAAGCACAGCUUUUUUAAGCAGGUUGUCAGGCACACAAGUUGUUUUAAGAAUGUGCCCCUCUCGUUAGCCUCAAAGCAUCAAAUGAUGAUUGCUUACCACCUGAGCACUCCAUGUCUGAGCAAGCCUGACCUAGAGGUCUCAAGUGUGUCCACUCUACCAGUAGACUUACUCAAAGAGGAGAUGGCACAGAUCAUUAGACAAAAAUUUCCUGAAAUAUCUGAAGUCCAUCUUUCGCAGUGUGUGACAACCAAGGGCAUAACUUAUAGGAAGGGAAUGAUACUGGCCCACAGAGAAGUAGGUGGAUUGCCUGAGUUUAGCGAAAUUGACCAAAUCGUCAUUAUACACAAGUGUGUAUUCUACAUUGUCAAAGAGCUCUGUGGUUGGUAUUCUGAACAUUAUAGAGCUUUCCAUCUCAGCCCGACACCCACAAGGACAUUUAGUCUCGUUGCACUUGGUGAGCUCCUUGACAGUUAUCCACUAGUUGACUACAGGAUUGGAUCAGCUCGCAUGGUGACUCUGAAAAGGCAUAUUAUAAUAAAAGGUGCGCUAGGAAACUUUGUGUUUAUUAAUAAUGGUUCUAAUCUCAUGUGUCUUACAGGCCCCCUAAAGAGUUUAUAUACAUGUCUAAUAACUGAAUAUUAUUUUGUUUGUGUACACAGACUAAACACCUUUGAAGAUGGAGACUACAUUCAUAAUGAAGAUAAUCUUGCCUGA